rnacentral:rRNA from 1 species
UAAAGAUUCAUCGCUGAUAGAUAGGCAUGCGUUCCAUUAGGCAGUUGGCGGGGUAACGGCCCACCAAACCGACGAUGGAUAGGGGUUCUGAGAGGAAGGUCCCCCACAUUGGUACUGAGACACGGACCAAACUCCUACGGGAGGCAGCAGUGAGGAAUAUUGGUCAAUGGGCGUAAGCCUGAACCAGCCAAGUCGCGUGAGGGAUGAAGGUUCUAUGGAUCGUAAACCUCUUUUAUAAGGGAAUAAAGUGCGGGACGUGUCCCGUUUUGUAUGUACCUUAUGAAUAAGGAUCGGCUAACUCCGUGCCAGCAGCCGCGGUAAUACGGAGGAUCCGAGCGUUAUCCGGAUUUAUUGGGUUUAAAGGGUGCGUAGGCGGCCUUUUAAGUCAGCGGUGAAAGUCUGUGGCUCAACCAUAGAAUCGCCGUUGAAACUGGGAGGCUUGAGUAUGUUUGAGGCAGGCGGAAUGCGUGGUGUAGCGGUGAAAUGCUUAGAUAUCACGCAGAACCCCGAUUGCGAAGGCAGCCUGCCAAGCCAUGACUGACGCUGAUGCACGAAAGCGUGGGGAUCAAACAGGAUUAGAUACCCUGGUAGUCCACGCAGUAAACGAUGAUCACUAGCUGUUUGCGAUACAGUGUAA